GUUGGGGCAAGUAUGGACACAACAUUCAAGCUGGAUUCAGCUCUAAAUUUGGAUUGUGAUUAAAUAGUUGACACAGCAUAGGUUUCUGACACAGAAUGAAUGUGGUCUAAUGAACUUAAAUUUUUGUUUUGCCUUUGAGCAAUUCACUAUGCUGUUGAAUAUUAAUCCUCUCAAAAAAAUGUUUGAAGAAAUUUUCUUUUUAUUUAUGAAAUCUGAAAUGAGAAAAAUUUACCCCCCCCCCCCCAAUUUUUUUUUCACAUCCCCCUUUCCCUUAUUCCAAAACUGAUCUCAAUUCAAAUUUCUAAUGGAGUUUGCAACAAUAACUACUCAUUUAAAUACAUCAUAAAAUAUUAAAAUGUAAAAAAAGUGCUUGUUAUCACUGAAUGGUAAAGAUUGUUUUAAUUUAUCAGUUGGUAGUAAAAG
rnacentral:lncRNA from 1 species